UGAUGAAGGCCGUUUUGAAACACCGGUUCUCGUAUGAUCACCGAAGUUAAGCAACGUCGAGCCCGGUUAGUACCUAGAUGGGUGACUGCUUGUGGAGACCAGGUGCU